GAGUUUGAUCGUGGCUCAGAGCGAACGCUGGCGGCAGGCCUAACACAUGCAAGUCGAGCGGCCGUAGCAAUACGGCAGCGGCAGACGGGAGAGUAACACGUGGGAACGCGCCCUUCGGUUCGGAAUAACUCAGGGAAACUUGAGCUAAUACCGGAUACGCCCUUACGGGAAAGAUUUAUUGCCGAAGGAACGGCCCGCGUCCGAUUAGCUAGUUGGUGAGGUAAUGGCUCACCAAGGCGACGAUCGGCAGCUGGUCUGAGAGGAUGACCAGCCUCACUGGGACUGAGACACGGCCCAGACUCCUACGGGAGGCAGCAGUGGGGAAUAUUGGACAAUGGGCGCAAGCCUGAUCCAGCCAUGCCGCGUGGAUGAUGAAGGCCUUAGGGUUGUAAAGUCUUUUUAACGGGAAGAUAAUGACGGUACCCGUAGAA
rnacentral:rRNA from 1 species